GGGUAUUGCUCAGUGGUAGAGCACUUGCCUAGCAUGCAAGAGGCUGUGAGUUUGAUCCCCACUGCUGACA
rnacentral:tRNA from 1 species